UCAAGAGCUGGGGGAAAAAACACAGAGGCAGUUGCUGGACAGUUGGUGAACUCUGGAAAGAGGGAUAGGCCACUAUUUUCCUCUAGCAGUUAGGAAAGCCCAGAGAGUUUCUGUUUGGUAUUUCUGGGGUGGACCUGGAAAGUCAGUGAUUCCCACUUCUUUGGUUUUCUUGAUAUUCUGCCUGUUCCUGCCUGCUGCUGCUAAAAAGAAGUGGAUUUCAACAAUGCUGGUGACUUACUUCUGAGAUUACUGCUUGAAUCAAAGAGAACUCCUGUGUUGUGAGAUUCUUUGGCCCUGGCCCUAUGUAAUAGCGAGGGGGACUUAAAAAAGGGAAGGACCAGUGAACAGCUGUUUGGGGACUGAGUUCUGUGUGACACUUCCUCUUUCCUCCACUAAGUUAAGCAGCUUUAAUGGAGUCAGUCAGUCAGACCAGAGGCAAACUAUCCAAAGAGGCCUCACAAGAAGUUUUUAAAAAAUCAAGAUUAUCCUCUGGCAAAGGAAGAUAAUCUGAAAACACUAAGAAUUUGGGAAUCACCACCUUCAAGGCUGUUUCUUUGUUCCCCAACUGAAAAGUCACAUCAGCUUGACAGACUGGGUUUCCAGAAAUGCUUUCUAUUUUCACAAUCCUGAUUGGAAGAGAAGAAUUUCUCGAAUCUUGUAGUUCAAAGCGCUAUAAGUUAGAAGAAAAUCAUAACAUGAGUUUCAUUUGCUUCAAUUCCUGAAAUCCAAUAAAAGUUGAUUCUUUGUUAAUUCUGGUUGAAAUAACUAUGUACAUUUGGCAUUUUUGUAACAGUGUAGUCCUAUAGCAGAACAACUAAACUUUAUGGCCACAUGAUGUAUAAAUCUUUAUCCAUUGUGUAAAAUAUACUACUCACAAUGAUAGCAGAAGAAAGCUAUAGCAGAACAUUACUAGCUUCUUAAAUAAAGCUAUUUGUGAUUUUAUAGCUAAAGAAAAACUUCAGCAGAUUAUCAAUAUUCAAUAAAGGUAAUCUUAGGAAUUGCA